rnacentral:rRNA from 1 species
UACGAAGGGGGCUAGCGUUGCUCGGAAUCACUGGGCGUAAAGCGCACGUAGGCGGACUCUUAAGUCGGUGGUGAAAUCCUGGAGCUCAACUCCAGAACUGCCUUCAAUACUGAGAGUCUCGAGUCCGGGAGAGGUGAGUGGAACUGCGAGUGUAGAGGUGAAAUUCGUAGAUAUUCGCAAGAACACCAGUGGCGAAGGCGGCUGACUGGUCCGGUUCUGACGCUGAGGCGCGAAAGCGUGGGGAGCAAACAGG